CGUUAACCCUUGGGUGAAGCGGAGAAUUUAAGCCCCAGUAAACGGCGGUGGUAACUAUAACCAUCCUAAGGUAGCGAAAUUCCUUGUCGGGUAAGUUCCGACCUGCACGAAUGGCGUAACGACUUCUCAACUGUCUCAACCAUAGACUCGGCGAAAUUGCACUACGAGUAAAGAUGCUCGUUACGCGCGGCAGGACGAAAAGACCCCGGGACCUUCACUAUAGCUUGGUAUUGGCGUUUGGUUCGGUUUGUGUAGGAUAGGUGGGAGACUGUGAAGCAGGCACGCCAGUGUUUGUGGAGUCAUCGUUGAAAUACCNGGUGGGUAGUUUAACUGGGGCGGUUGCCUCCCAAAAUGUAACGGAGGCGCCCAAAGGUUCCCUCAACCUGGACGGCAAUCAGGUGUUGAGUGCAAGUGCACAAGGGAGCUUGACUGCGAGACCUACAAGUCAAGCAGGGACGAAAGUCGGGACUAGUGAUCCGGCACCUCUGAGUGGAAGGGGUGUCGCUCAACGGAUAAAAGGUACCCCGGGGAUAACAGGCUGAUCUUCCCCAAGAGUCCAUAUCGACGGGAUGGUUUGGCACCUCGAUGUCGGCUCGUCGCAUCCUGGGGCUGGAGCAGGUCCCAAGGGUUGGGCUGUUCGCCCAUUAAAGCGGCACGCGAGCUGGGUUUAGAACGUCGUGAGACAGUUCGGUCUCUAUCCGCCGCGCGCGUCAGAAACUUGAGGAAACCUGUCCCUAGUACGAGAGGACCGGGACGGACGAACCUCUGGUGUACCAGUUGUUCCACCAGGAGCACGGCUGGAUAGCUACGUUCGGACAGGAUAACCGCUGAAAGCAUCUAAGCGGGAAACCUAUUCCAAGACCAGGUUUCUCACCCUUUUAGAGGGAUAAGGUCACCCACAGACUAUGGGUUCAAUAGGCCAGACCUGCAAGCGUAGUAAUACGUUCAGGGAACUGGCACUAAUCGACCGAAAACUUACUAAU
rnacentral:rRNA from 1 species